GGGAUCUCAGUCGAGAUUCCUACGGGAGGCAGCAGUGGGGAAUCUUAGACAAUGGGCGCAAGCCUGAUCUAGCCAUGCCGCGUGAGUGACGAAGGCCUUAGGGUCGUAAAGCUCUUUCGCCAGGGAUGAUAAUGACAGUACCUGGUAAAGAAACCCCGGCUAACUCCGUGCCAGCAGCCGCGGUAAUACGGAGGGGGUUAGCGUUGUUCGGAAUUACUGGGCGUAAAGCGCGCGUAGGCGGAUUAUUAAGUUAGGGGUGAAAUCCCGGGGCUCAACCCCGGAACUGCCUCUAAUACUGGUAGUCUUGAGUUCGAGAGAGGUGAGUGGAAUUCCGAGUGUAGAGGUGAAAUUCGUAGAUAUUCGGAGGAACACCAGUGGCGAAGGCGGCUCACUGGCUCGAUACUGACGCUGAGGUGCGAAAGUGUGGGGAGCAAACAGGAUUAGAUACCCUGGUAGUCCACACCGUAAACGAUGAAUGCCAGACGUCGGCAAGCAUGCUUGUCGGUGUCACACCUAACGGAUUAAGCAUUCCGCCUGGGGAGUACGGUCGCAAGAUUAAAACUCAAAGGAAUUGACGG
rnacentral:rRNA from 1 species